GGAUAUGAGGCUGAUCUGGAUGAAACCUCUGUCACCUCACUGAUGCCAGGGUUGCUUUGGCUGGCUUGGCCGGUGGCCUGCCCCUCCCUCCCAGCUCCAUGUAUGUCCUCCCUGAAGCUGCUUGCUCCUGGGAAACAAAGACGGCCCCUGACCAGAAGGGGACCUGUCCUUCAUUAAGGACAUGUGAGUAGCUGUGCUUCCCUGCUAGAACCUCCAAAUAAGUUCUCAAGUGUUCAAGAUCAGCAUCGACUGUAUAGCCAGUUCUAGGUCAAUCUUUGCUACACAAUCUCGCUUCAAAAAAACCAAAACAACAGCAAAAAGAAUUAUGUCAUAAGACAGUAUUUGGUUGUUU
ensembl:misc_RNA predicted gene, 23776